AGCCAAGGGGCGUCCCACGUUACGUCUUCCGCUG
rnacentral:sRNA from 1 species